AAGUCGUAACAAGGUUUCCGUAGGUGAACCUGCGGAAGGAUCAUUGAAAAAGGAAAACGGGGGAAAAUAUUUAAUAUUUUUCCCCGGGAAAAACGCCUUCUCUCCUCAUUCGUGAGGAUUUUUCCGCCUUCUAAAACUUUUUCGGCUGAUGGAAUGGUUGCGCUGGCCCUUGGCACCGCGAGAACCUAAAAAUUUCUUGCGCUGUCCAGGUGUUUGUCCGACCGAAAAAUCAACACAACUUUUAACAAUGGAUCUCUUGGCUCUC
rnacentral:misc_RNA from 1 species